rnacentral:misc_RNA from 1 species
UUAAGUUCAGCGGGUAUCCCUACCUGAUCCGAGGUCAACCUAGAAAAUAAAUGGGUUUGUGACCGGGUCCUCGGGCGCCCUGAUCCAGUACGUGUCCAGUCAAAGAACUCAGUGUACCGGGGGUUCCUGCGAGGCCGCCGUCAUUGUCUUUAGGAGGGGUAGAGGCUCGAAAGCCUCCACCGGCCGUCCAACACCAAGCC